rnacentral:rRNA from 1 species
UGAACCUGCGGAAGGAUCAUUAAAAGAAUCUGUGCAUGCUUUAUGCGUAUCACAAUUCACACCCCCUCUGGGUAUCAUGCCUGUUGCUUCCGUUGGGCGGCCUCCACCCCUGGAGGGGUGGCACCACCGAGAUGAGUCACGUGCAGCGAUGUUGCGGGUGACUCUCGAGGACAGUUCCAGCGGAAGGCUCCCGUCAAACCAUUUGCAUUAUCUUGCUUUCAGUCUGAACUUUGUUAACAAUUGUUAAAACUUUCAACAACGGAUCUCUUGGUUCUCGCAUCGAUGAAGAACGCAGCGAAAUGCGAUAAGUAGUGUGAAUUGCAGAAUUCAGUGAAUCAUCGAAUCUUUGAACGCACAUUGCGCCUCCUGGUAUUCCGGGAGGCAUGCCUGUUCGAGCGUCAUAAAAACCUCCUCAAGCGUUUUCGCUUGGUUAUGGAGGCUGAGCUGUGCCUUUCGGUCACCUCACCUUCGAAAUCCAGAGGCAGAUUGCCCUGUGUUGUCCUGGCGUGAUAAGUUAACUCUUUCGCUUGGAUUUACAAGGUAAUCUUGCGGCGAUACUUUAAUAAUUUAUGUUGACCUCGGAUCAGGUAGGGAUACCCGCUGAACUUAAGCAUAUCAAUAAGCGGAGGAAAAGAAAC